rnacentral:rRNA from 1 species
UACGUAGGUGGCAAGCGUUGUCCGGAAUCAUUGGGCGUAAAGAGCGCGUAGGUGGCUUGUCAGGUCCGAUGUGAAAACCUGGGGCUCAACUCCAGGCCUGCAUCGGAAACCGGCUUGCUAGAGUCUGGGAGAGGAGAGUGGAAUUCCUGGUGUAGCGGUGAAAUGCGUAGAUAUCAGGAGGAACACCGGUAGCGAAGGCGGCUCUCUGGAACAGUACUGACGCUGAGGCGCGAAAGCUAGGGGAGCGAACAGGAUUAGA